AUUGAACGCUGGCGGCAUGCUUUACACAUGCAAGUCGAACGGUAACAGGGAGCUUGCUCCGCUGACGAGUGGCGAACGGGUGAGUAAUGCGUCGGAACGUGCCGAGUAGUGGGGGAUAACGCAGCGAAAGUUGUGCUAAUACCGCAUACGUACUGAGAUAGAAAGUGGGGGACCUUCGGGCCUCACGCUAUUCGAGCGGCCGACGUCUGAUUAGCUAGUAGGUGAGGUAAAGGCUCACCUAGGCGACGAUCAGUAGCGGGUCUGAGAGGAUGAUCCGCCACACUGGGACUGAGACACGGCCCAGACUCCUACGGGAGGCAGCAGUGGGGAAUUUUGGACAAUGGGCGAAAGUCUGAUCCAGCCAUGCCGCGUGUCUGAAGAAGGCCUUCGGGUUGUAAAGGACUUUUGUCGGGGAGGAAAUCCCCAGCGUUAAUACCGCUGGGGGAUGACAGUACCUGAAGAAUAAGCACCGGCUAACUACGUGCCAGCAGCCGCAGUAACAC
rnacentral:rRNA from 1 species